rnacentral:rRNA from 1 species
UACGGAGGGGACUAGCGUUGUUCGGAAUUACUGGGCGUAAAGCGCACGUAGGCGGAUUUGUAAGUCAGGGGUGAAAUCCCGGGGCUCAACCUCGGAACUGCCUUUGAUACUGCAAAUCUCGAGUCCGGAAGAGGUGAGUGGAAUUCCUAGUGUAGAGGUGAAAUUCGUAGAUAUUGGGAAGAACACCAGUGGCGAAGGCGGCUCACUGGCUCGCAACUGACGCUCAGGCGCGACAGCGUGGGGAGUCAAACAGGA